ACCAACAGGGAUUGCCUCAGUAACGGCGAGUGAAGCGGCAACAGCUCAAAUUUGAAAUCUGGCCUCUUCGGGGUCCGAGUUGUAAUUUGUAGAGGAUGUUUCGGGUACCGCCUCGGUUUAAAUUUCUUGGAACAGAAUGUCAGAGAGGGUGAGAAUCCCGUCUUGGACCGGCGGUAGGGCCCAUGUGAAACUCCUUCGACGAGUCGAGUUGUUUGGGAAUGCAGCUCAAAAUGGGUGGUAAAUUUCAUCUAAAGCUAAAUAUUGGCCAGAGACCGAUAGCGCACAAGUAGAGUGAUCGAAAGAUGAAAAGAACUUUGAAAAGAGAGUUAAACAGUAUGUGAAAUUGUUGAAAGGGAAGCGCUUACAACCAGACUUGAGCGCGGCGGUUCCCCCUUCCUUUUGGUUGGGUUACUCCGCCGUGUCCAGGCCAACAUCGGUUCUGGGGGUCGGUUAAAGGCCUGGGGAAUGUAUCUACUCCUUCGGGGGUAGACUUAUAG
rnacentral:rRNA from 1 species